GGCCGACGCCGGGAGGAUCUGCCUCCGGGAGGAGCCGCCUCCGGGUCUGAACCGCCGGGGCCCCGUCCGAAAUGUUCACCUAAGUGGGGGCUCCUGUGGCUGCGAGGGUCAUAAGCAGGAGCGAGGUCGGAGCCUCCGGGGAGGCUUCCCCCACGCGGGUGGAGCGCUCCGGAGGCGGGGCCCUCAAGGCCCGGGUGUCUUAACCCCGCCGCGCCCGGGCCGAGUUCGAGAGCCGCUGGUGCUUCCCAGGCCGUCGCGCUCCUGGCCGCGCACCCAGCCAGGGACCCAGAGGCCCUCAGCCCCGGGCUCUGCGCGUACACUGAGGGCGCGGCGCAGCAGGACAGCAAGAUAAGGAAGCAGAGACUGAAGGGAGGAAUCCCCGCUUUCCGGGGAUGAUGGCGUUCGAGUUGGGUCUGUGAGGGAUGAAAUAGGAGUUGGCCAGAGGGAGAGAGGGACUCUAGGCCUCGAGAAGAGCACGUGCAGAGGUUCCGUGACACGAAAACGCCAGGCCCAGGCUCAGAACACUUGGCUCCAUUGCUUCACUGUUUCCCUGCUAGCACGAACCCCCCAAACUCCAUCUCCCAACAUGCCGCGGGCCCCCUUUCUGUCAGCCUGACUCUUGAGCUCCUGAGAAAUGUAGUUUUUCCAGCGGCCCAGCCCCAGAAAGGUCCUAGCCAAGAACUACAGUUCCCAUGUGGCAAUGCGCGCGCCAUUCCGGUGGAAUUCACCGCGGUCUCCAGUUUGCCAUGAUGGAUGCCAGAACCUGCAC
rnacentral:lncRNA from 1 species